rnacentral:rRNA from 1 species
UACGAAGGGGGCUAGCGUUGCUCGGAAUCACUGGGCGUAAAGGGUGCGUAGGCGGGGUCUUUAAGUCAGGGGUGAAAUCCUGGAGCUCAACUCCAGAACUGCCUUUGAUACUGGCGAGCUUGAGUUCGGGAGAGGUGAGUGGAACUGCGAGUGUAGAGGUGAAAUUCGUAGAUAUUCGCAAGAACACCAGUGGCGAAGGCGGCUCACUGGCCCGAUACUGACGCUGAGGCACGAAAGCGUGGGGGAGCAAACAGG